ACUUUAUUCUGUGUUUAUUCAGUCUGCUCCGUACCUUGUUUGCUGUGGUGAAAAUAAAGGUCAUUACCAACUGUUCCUGAGCACCUGUGUACUGCAUUUGGGUCCAUACCACACCCCUCUCAACAGUAUAGGAAAGCUUGAUGUACCAGAGAGCUGGUUUAUGGGCUUGAAGUUUGAGAGGGAGAAAGACUGCCCAACAGUUCCACUCAUUGCAAGCACCCAAGAACAAGCUGGAACAACCACUCCCCCAACACCACGAGACGGCUCUGGAGCUGAAGAAGCGUCAUCUCAAAGUGAGUUGGUAGCUGAGCAUCUCAAAGGUCGUCUCAGAUCCAUGUUUGAU